GCCAGCAGCCAUAUCACCCUGCAGCUCCCAGCUGGCAGCCCCACUGGAGCUCAGCAGGUGGGAGCCUGGUCAGUACCUGGAUGGGAGACUCCUGGGAAAGCUCAGGUUGCUGCUGGAA
rnacentral:rRNA from 1 species